rnacentral:lncRNA from 1 species
AUAAUGAAGAAACAUGAUGAAGACUAAAAUUGUACACAUUAAGUGAAAAAGAAAGAAGAAAGGAAUCGCAGAAACAUAGAUUUGCAUGGUGGAUCUGAAAGACGAGGGUGCUCAUUAAGCGUUGUAGGAGGGAAUUGAGGAGGAGUAGGUUUGAGGAAGUGUGGCGUGAUCAGAAGAAGCUACGAAUUUUCGGAUCUCAGAGCGCAUCUUAUAGAUAACAUGUCUCAAAGUGCCCUUGUUGUGGGAACCAAGGAGCUUGGUUUCCUGGUGGUUCAUUUCGAGAUCCACAGCAAAUAUUGGCUUCCUGGAGAGGAUCCAAGCCCAGGUCCAGUCCCACCAUUUCCUGAUGGAGGUGCCGGCAUAGUCGCCCAUGGAUGAAAGGGACUUGGAUCUGGGAAACGACCAAUACGACGCGCCUCCGCCUGCCGCCGUGGAGGCUUGGAUCUUGAGAGACAGAGAGGAAAGACGUCGGCGAAUGCCUCCUUCAUUUAGGUUUGAGUUUGAGUUAGAGACUGGAAGCGAUGGCUUUCCAGUGGCGAAGAAGCUCCGGUUCUCACCCACACCCAUGCUUCCAACAACUCUUUGCUUCCCAAUGAAAGCCCAAUAACAAGUGUAGAGAGGUAAAAUGGAAGCUUCAC